UCUUUUGAAACUAAAUCUCAGCAGAUUUUAUUUCCAAGUAGAAUUAAAACAGGAAGUGAAAGUUGAAAGUAUGCCCGGCUGUGACAAAUGUCACAUUGCAAAACCGAAGCCUCUUCACCCCUGAGGACACUCAGUUCUACUCUGGGGCAGAGGGCAGCUUCCAUCUGGGAUGCUGCAGAAGCCCUCUCAAGAGGCUCUGAAGCAGAGACAAAUGCUCUGUGGCUUUCAAAGGGCCCGCAGUGUCAGUCUGAGAGAGAGAAAGGCCUUACAGGGAGCCAGGCAGAGGGCCAGUGGGAGCCUAGCAGGGACACAAGCAUUUCCUUUAUUCAAGAAAAAACCCGCUUUGUGGAGGAAGUCCCGGGUCUCCAAGCAAGUGCUAACUUUGUUAAAAAUACUGAGCCAAGCUGUGCCAACCAGUUCAAUGCUCUUCCAGGACUGAGAAGACAGGUGGCUGUCUACUCUGCUCUUGGUCUGAGGGAGUUAACGAUGAAUUCGUUCGUCUUGUCCCAUAAGCCAACGGGACGCACAUUUGUCCGCUUUAUCCACUAAGGCCAAGUGGUGCCUCACAGCUCCCCAAAGCUCCUGCAGUUGUUAGUGUUCUUAUUGUGUUGUCACCGGCUGAGUUCUUCACACAACUGUCAGUAAACCAGUCAACAGACACCAGGAACUGGCAAGCCAUCUGAGAGCAGAAGGUAGCUUACACCUACAGGGGAAUUCCUGCCAACAUCUCAGGUUCUCCUUUUGUAAUUCACUCAUUGACUCACUGUAACUAUUGAGCAGUGUGGGAGGCCUUGUAUUGAUUUGUUGUUCUCAUCCUCAUUCUUGUUUUGAGACAGGGUUUCCUGAAGACCAGGCUGGCCUAGAACUUAGAGGUAUACUGGCCUCCACCUCCCUCUUGUUGGGAUUAGAAAGGCAUGCGCCACAGCUGCUGGGCUGAGACAUUAUAUUGAAAAUCAUCUCUUAGUACAGCUUAAAAAAUGACAAACUGUAAUGCACUCAGUUACCCCAAUAACUUGUUUUUAAAAAGUCCCCACCGUUCUACAGAUGCUGCUCUCUGGACUCUGACUCUCAGAGUGUGUCUGAUGACUUGGCCCCCAGGGUACUGUGCUGGCAGGUCCUGCAGGGAGAGGACACAUCGGGUCACCUGCUCCUUUACACCGAGCUCCCUUGUGUAACUGUGGGAUAAAAUAAACUUUUUCUCUUUAUAAUUUGUGUGACAAACAGUAGCCGCGGGUGAGGAAUUUACACUUCCAGUAAAUUUUCCAGUAAAUUCGGCUUACUGCUGCACAUCUACUGUUCCACCCCGGGGAGUGGAAGCAGGGUAUCAGAUGUUCAAGGUCAUCUUUGACUGCAUAGAUUCAAGCAAGACUGGCGUGGGCUAUAUAAACCUCUCUCUCUCUCUCUCUCUCUCUCUCUCUCUCUCUCUCUCUCCCUGGAAAAAAGGAAGGAAGAAAGAAAGAAAGAAAGAAAGAGAGAAAGAAAGAAAGAGAAAAAAAAGAAUUGCAGGUAAUACAAACGUACCAGCCCUGUGUUCCCACUCUAAGAACCACUGUAUCAAUACACCCACUGCCAAAUCCCUAGAAUGCCUGGAAUUGAGAAGAGAAUAAAUAUUCAUUACAUCGAACGAAAGCAGAUUUGAGAAAAUUCUGUCAUCACAGAUAACAGAUCAGCUUGUACAAAUAUUUACACUUUUCUCUCACUGAGACGGCAAUCCAAGACUGCAAGGACAACUUCAUAGAGCAGGGCAGGCCGCUCUCUGCAUUCGGUAUGAGAGUGAGCACAGGGUUUGCAGCUGACUUGGUCAGUGAGCUGACACUGUGUGGGUGAUGGGGGGAAAGCAUGGAAACUAAGCACAACGGAGCCUGUGCUCAGACUCCAGGAGGCUCUGACUGAAGACCCAGCACCAGAUGGGUGGGGCAGGGGAAGGGAGCCAUGAAGAAAAGUUCAUCUUUACUACCUUCCUGUUACCUCCUUCAUCAUUUUUCCUUCUCUUCCACCUUCUCUCCCCACUUAUACUCCUCCACCAUGAUAUAUAUUACAAAUAUAUAUGAAAUACAUAAUAUAUAUGUAAUAUAUUUAUACACAUAUUUUGAAGGACAGAAUUGUUGCCAAAUGAGAUCUCCCUGUGCGUGUGCGUGUGUGUGUGAACAGGGGUACGAGAUGCUGGCAAGAUGCUCAGCAGUUAUGAGCGCUGGCUGCUCUGGCAGAGGACCAGGAUUUCACAGCCAUCACUCAUGGGGCAGCUCCCAAGAGUCUGACCCCCUGUUCUUGGAAACUGGAUAUCCUGUUGUGGCCUCUGCAGACACUGUGUACAAAUCGUGCCCAUACGUACAUCAGGCAAAACACCCAUGUGCAAAACAAUAACAUAAUAAAAAAUACGGGACAGAACCCCAAAGCGUCUUUUAAAACCAGCUGACAUUUGUGGAACACUUGUCACAUGCCAGCACUGGCCUAACUAUGGGAAGGAAACUUUGAGAAUGCAUAUAAUGACUCACAGAUAUAAAAUCUGCUCUUCUAAAGUGUACAUACAGUUCAGUGGCUUGAACAUAUUCAUACAUGAUACAGUCAACACCGCUGUCUAAAUAUGCAGUAUUUCCACCUCAUUCCAGAGAGAUGCCAAUCCACCAGCAGAUGCCAGACAGAGAUACUUAAAAUUAACUCUCUAAAUACCGACCUGGUAACUCAACUUCUUUUCUUUGCUAUGAGAAUUAUUUCUAGGGAGAAUCUUUCUUUGGAUGCUGUUCUGUCUGGUUUUUGUCAGCUUGACAGAAGACAGAGUGAUCUGGGAAGAGGAGCCUCAGUGGAGAACUCCAUCAGACUGUGUGUCUCAGUUAUACAGGUAACAACUGUGGAGAAUGCCAUCAGACUGUGUGUUUCAGUUAUACAGAUAAGAACUGUGGAGAACUCCAUCAGACUAUGUGUUUCAGUUAUACAGAUAAGAACUGUGGAGAAUGCCAUCAGACUGUGUGUUUCAGUUAUGCAGGUAACAACUGUGGAGAGCUCCAUCAGACUGCGUGUCUCAGUUAUGCAGGUAACAACUUUGGAGAGCUCCAUCAGACUGCCUGUCUCAGUUAUACAGAUCACAACUGUGGAGAGCUCCAUCAGACUGCGUGUUUAGUUAUACAGAUAACAACUUGCUUUCCAAUGUUUGUACCAGUUAUAGUUUCAACACUUUUCAGUCCCCAUAGUUCCAUGCUAUCUCCAGUAUUUGUAAUCCUUUCCUAAGUUCCCCUUUUCUGCUUCGAGGUGGGAUUGGGUGAUGGACAGGAACUUGUCUGUGACUUCGGGUCUCUUCUCUGCAUUCUUCUCAGAGUCUCAUGACAGUCCAGUGGUGCUAUAUGUCCCUGUUGACAUAUAGGAACCCUUAGUGUACGUUGAAUUAGGAGUUUGUUUGGAGCUCCUGCACAGUGUCUUCUGCUCUGUGUUGGAUUACUUUAUUUUUCCUAUGUCCCUUAUUAGACAAAAUAUAUGUUAAAACCUUUAAAUUUCGUUAUAUAUAAGAACAUUUUCAAUAAACAGAAAGGUAACUGUAAUCUUC